rnacentral:rRNA from 1 species
AUUGAACGCUGGCGGCAGGCUUAACACAUGCAAGUCGAGCGGAGAGAGGUAGCUUGCUACCGAUCUUAGCGGCGGACGGGUGAGUAAUGCUUAGGAAUCUGCCUAUUAGUGGGGGACAACAUUUCGAAAGGAAUGCUAAUACCGCAUACGUCCUACGGGAGAAAGCAGGGGAUCUUCGGACCUUGCGCUAAUAGAUGAGCCUAAGUCGGAUUAGCUAGUUGGUGGGGUAAAGGCCUACCAAGGCGACGAUCUGUAGCGGGUCUGAGAGGAUGAUCCGCCACACUGGGACUGAGACACGGCCCAGACUCCUACGGGAGGCAGCAGUGGGGAAUAUUGGACAAUGGGCGCAAGCCUGAUCCAGCCAUGCCGCGUGUGUGAAGAAGGCCUUAUGGUUGUAAAGCACUUAAGCGAGGAGGAGGCUACUGAAGUUAAUACCUUCAGAUAGUGGACGUUACUCGCAGAAUAAGCACCGGCUAACUCUGUGCCAGCCGCCGCAGUAAUAC